UAAUAAGUUAUUCACUUACUAUUCUGGGAUC
rnacentral:piRNA from 1 species